rnacentral:rRNA from 1 species
UCGUGAAGUGAUUUGUCUACUUAAUUGCAAUAACAAACGAGACCUUAACCUGCUAAAUAGCCAGGCUAGCUUUGGCUGGUUGCCGGCUUCUUAGAGGGACUAUCAGCUCAAGCUAAUGGAAGUCUAAGGCAAUAACA